GCAGAUUUAAGUUAAUUUUUAAACUAGUGGUCUUCAAAACCAAAAAUAGAUUUCUGUA
rnacentral:tRNA from 3 species